GUGCUCGGCUGGCGGGACGCCUGCGAGCCCGCACGGCCGGGCGCUGCUGCCCCUGCCUUCCGCCCGGUCACGCCGGACGUUGCGCUCUGAGGUGUUUCUCGAUGCUCGCCGGCUUCCCAGCACGGACGGUGGAAAAGUUGUUGCAGGCUGAACGCGCUCCCCGAGAGCCCCGCUGGUGGUCGGUCCCGCCAGCUUCCGGCGUCGAGCUGUCGCUGUAGCUCGUCACCCCAGCAGAUUCUGUGGAAAUGCUGAAGAGAAAAGUACCCCUCAGAUGAGCGUGGUCGGCGACCAGUCUUUCCCGAAGGCGAUGGCAGGGACCAAAACAAGCCGGGUUUGGUUGCUAGCUGCAAACUGAGAGAAGCAGGCUGAGGGCUGCCAGGCGGGAUGGAUCCCUGUGGAGACCCGGCAGUGCCUGGUGGCGACUGUCUCCAGACUAGGGGAGCGGGGCUCCAGGGGGCGUCUGGCCAGGAGGGUCCUCUGCAGGGCACUUGCGUGGACAGCAGCCACAGUGAACACGAAGACCGAAACAGAAUGUCUGAAGACCUUUUAAUGGUUGUCCAAGAAAUGAAAAAGUAUUUCCCAGCCGAGAGGCACACUAAGCCCACCACCCUAGAUGCUCUUAACUAUGCCCUGCGCUGUGUACAUAGUGUGCAAGCAAACAGUGAAUUUUUCCAGAGUCUCAGUCCACACGGAGCACGCCAGGCAGAUGUGACUGUAUACAGUCUUGAGGACCUGACCUCUCUGGCUUCUGAACAUACUUCCAAGAACACAGACACCUUUGUGGCCGUGUUUUCGUUUCUGUCUGGAAGGUUAGUGCACAUUUCUGAGCAGGCUGCUUUGGUCCUGAAUUCUAAGAAAGGUUUCCUCAAGAGCUUGCACUUUGUCGACCUGCUUGCCCCUCAAGACGUGAGGGUGUUCUACGCGCACACUGCUCCAACUCAGCUUCCUUUCUGGAACAACUGGACCCAAAGAGACUCGCAGUAUGAAUGUGCACCAGUGAAACCCUUCUUCUGCAGAAUCUGUGGAGGUGGAGACAGAGAGCAGAAGAGGCAUUACUCCCCAUUCCGGAUCCUCCCCUAUUUGGUUCAUGUACAUAGCUCUGCCCAGCCGGAACCAGAGCCUUGCUGUCUAACACUGGUUGAAAAGAUUCACUCUGGUUACGAAGCUCCUCGAAUCCCUGUAGAUAAAAGAAUUUUUACCACAACACACACUCCAGGAUGUGUGUUUCUUGAAGUAGAUGAAAGAGCAGUGCCUUUGCUGGGUUACCUACCUCAGGAUCUGAUUGGAACAUCGAUCUUAACAUACUUGCACCCAGAAGAUCGGCCUCUGAUGGUUGCCAUACACCAAAAAGUUUUAAAGUAUGCGGGCCACCCUCCGUUUGAACACUCGCCCGUCAGAUUCUGCACUCAGAAUGGAGAUUAUGUCAUUCUGGAUUCCAGCUGGUCCAGCUUUGUGAACCCCUGGAGCCGGAAGGUCUCCUUCAUCAUUGGUCGACAUAAAGUCCGAACGAGUCCAUUAAAUGAAGAUGUUUUUGCCACCAGAAUAAAAAAGGCAGCCAGUAACGACAAAGACAUAGCAGAAUUACAAGAACAAAUUCACAAACUUCUCUUGCAGCCGGUUCAUGCUAAUGCUUCCAGUGGCUACGGGAGCCUGGGCAGCAGCGGCUCACAGGAGCAGCACAUCAGCAUCACCUCUUCGAGUGAGUCAAGCGGACACUGUCCGGAGGAAGGCCAGCAUGAGCAGAUGACCCUGCAGCAGGUCUAUGCCAGUGUAAACAAAAUUAAGAAUGUGGGCCAACAGCUCUACAUCGAGACGAUGGCCAGAUCAUCAGUAAAGCCCGUGACAGAGACAUGCGUGGAACUGCAGGGUGGUGAUGAGCAGAAGGACUUUUCUUCCUCUCAGACUCUGAAAAAUAAAAGCACCACAGAUACCGGCUCCGGUGGCGAUCUGCGGCAAGAGCAGGACAGCUCGUCCUAUCAGCAGAUGAACUGUAUCGACAGUGUCAUCAGGUACCUGACAAGCUACAGCCUCCCAGCCUUGAAAAGAAAGUGCAUCUCCUGCACAAACACGUCUUCAUCCUCAGAAGAAGCCAAGCCAAUCCCAGAGGCGGACAGCAGCCAGCGAGACACUGAACAGCUCCUAGACAUACCUAAACAGGAAACAACUGAACCAUCCACAGACGUCGAAGGAGGUGUUGCACAGACCCUGUCCACCGCCACACUGAGCGUGGUGUCCGGCAUCAGCCAGUGCAGCUGCAGCAGCAUCACUGACCAUGCUCCGCCUCUGCAGUCAGCAGAAAGCGUUGCCGUGGCGUGUAAGCCGUGGGCCCUGAGAACAAAGGCCUCUCACCUGUCUGCAGGAAGAUUUAAGCACGUGGGGCUCACAGCGGCUGUCCUCUCCGAACACACACAGAAGGAAGAGCAGAACUAUGUUGACAGGUUUCGGGAAAAGAUCCUGACCUCGCCCUACGGUUGCUAUCUUCAGCAAGAGAGCAGAAACCAUGCUCAGUGCUCCUGUGCUCAAGCAGGGUCCACCUCUCAGCACAGCAGAUGUGCUGGAAGUGAGAGACGGAAGCACAAACGGAAGAAGUUGCCAGCACCUGUAGACACCAGCAGCUCCGGUGCCCACCUCUGUCCCCAUGUCAGAGGACUCCUUCCAGAUGAGCAGCACUGGAGCCUGUCCGCUAGCCCCUCCCCCGUUGGUGCAGGCUUAGCUUUCCCCAGCCAGACCCCUUAUCUCCUCCCCUCUUUUCCCCUCCAAGAUAUGGCCUCUCAGGGAGUAGGGGACUCGGGAGCCUGGGGAGCUGCAGCUGGCUGUCCACCUCUGUCCACUGGCCCCCAGUCUGUUUCCGCAUUCCCCUCUGCUUACUUGGAUACUUUGAUGACCAUCUUCCUGCACAACACCCCUCUCUUCCCUCUGUGGCCACCAUCGUUCUCUCCGUACCCGUUCCUGGGGGCCGCAGGUUCUUCUGAACUGGCUCCAAACCUGGAACCAACCACUUCAGACCACAGCCAGAGGAGAGAGGAGGAGAACUGGGAGACACACAGUGAAGAGCUUCCGUUCUUUAGCUCACGGAGCAGUUCACCACUGCAGUUAAAUUUACUCCAGGAAGAAAUGCCUGCACCGUCAGAGUCCGCAGAUGCAGUGAGGAGAGGCGCUGGGCCAGAUGCUAAGCAUCACUGUGUUACAGGUCCCAGUGGCAAUAGGAGCCGUCACUGUGCCUCUGGUGAGCUGGCCACGGCAACCGCGCAGCAGGAGUCUCCGUCUGCAGCUGCCUCAGAAAGCAGUACCAGCAGUAUAAACUUCAGUAGCAGUGACUACGCUUCUGAAGGCUCUGAAAACAGUCAGAGGCCACAGGAUAGACAGAGAGACGAAGCCCUUCCCGGGACGGCUGAAGAGUCCAUCUGGAGAAUGAUAGCGCGGACGCCAGAGUGUGUUCUCAUGACGUACCAGGUGCCCGAGAGGGGUCGAGACGAGGUGCUGAAGCAGGACCUGGAAAAGCUUCACCGCAUGGAGCAGCAGCAGCCCCUGUUCUCUCCUGCGCAGAGGGAGGAGCUGGCCAAAGUGCGCUCCUGGAUCCACAGCCACACUGCCCCUCAGGAAAGAUGCCUCCAGGGACUCACCAUGUAGACCAGGCUGUCCUCAUGGAAACCCACCUGUGCCAUUUGCCACCACACCCACCAGUGAUGCUUAUUGCAAAACAUACAGAAUCUGGGAUUCCAAGGCUGGGAGAUGACUCGUGGUGCAUGGGCUAAAGGACCAAAGUUGAGAUCCCAAAACCCAGGGCUUUCUCCUGCUUCCGUGUCCACGGUCUGGCGCAGGGUCUGCAGGAGGGCCAUCCUCUCCAGCUCCUCCAGAGCCCGAAGAGCUUCCUCAAGCACUGUGGGGUAGAGACAGACACAGAGCCCACCCUGGGCUUCACUUGGCUGUUCUGUUUCCUGUCAUCGAUGAGUACCAGGGACAGAGAGGUGGGAACUGGAGACAUGCCACAGUGGCACUUAGCAGAUAUAAAGUGCUAUGCAAGUCAUCAGGAGUCCAUGGAGGAACCCAUGGGCCACCCCUCCCUGCCGACAUGUUCACCCAUGUUCUGCCUCAGAAGUCUGACUGAUCCUCAUCUCUGUGUAUCCACUGCUACCUCUUGCUUUGUGUUCCCAUAGUGAAGUUGACAGUGGCACCUCUAUUGCGCCUCAUAGGGGACAUUCACAGGAAGCUCAAACUCUUUGUUGUGGCUUCUGUGUGAAAGGUGAUGUAAAGUGGGUAUGUGGAGGGAAGUGUGGUAAAUGCAUGUUUGGUAUGCAAGGUAAGUGUAUGUGGGUAUAUGCUAUGUGCAAGCUGUAUGUACCGUGUAUGGUGUGAGAUAUAAGGGCAGGCAGCGUGUAUGGCAAGUACAUGUGAGGAGUGAUCUUCAUAAUAACAGGGAUAAAUGUACAGAGUGCACAGUGUGUGACCAGUGGCGGCUGGUAGUGGGACAUGUGCCUUGGGCAGGUGCCAGCGUGUUGAGAUGCUCAGGGAGUCUGACUGGAAAGCCACACAAGACCCUGAAAUGCUGCAGAGUGACAAGUACUCAUCUGCAACCUUGGUGAAAGACACUAAAGGCGCCUGCCCGAGCGAGUGCAGCCACGGUAGUCCUUGGGAGCUGGCCUCCAUAUUGUGAUGAUGUGUAAAUGCCUGCCUGUGAUGAAGGAUGUCUGUGGAGAAAAAAACGUGAGGGGAAAAAAAUCUGAUAAAAACACUAAGCUUCCACGGGUUUGGAAUUUCAAUAACAGGCUGCCCUCUCCUGCCCUCCCUCGUAGCUGUUUAAAGUGGCAUCAGUAUCUGAACACUCCUGAUUUCCUCAGAGAGGAAGAGCAGGGUGUACUGCUCUUUUACAGUAACAGCAUUGGUUCGUGCCUGGCCUCGAGCAUCAGGGUCAGUGCCAGUGUGACCUCAGUGACCCCGGCAGCUGAUGGUCAGGACGUAAGUGAUGCUUUGACAGGACAUGAGAUGCUCUGAGACACUCGGAGUGCUGGCGGAGGCUGGACGGUCCAGUGGCAGGAGCUGGAACAGAACUUACUUAGGAAAAGAUCCGAAAGGACCCAAGAGCCACGCCAGUGAACCAGCUUAGCAGACAGAGGUUGCCUGCCACCAAGCCUGCCCACGUGGUGGAGAACUAGGGGACCCUCUGACUUCCACAUCUGGGCACAGACAAUAAACAUGAAGGAAAUUUUGCUUAGGUAUCCAAAACCAAGUAUUAAAUCCAGUUAACAUUUUUUUUUAUGGACUCUAAUACACAACCUGCUACCAGACUGAGAGGCUGUGGUAAAGUUUCUAACUUUUUCCCUUUCAGCCGAACUUGAGUAGAACAUUAAGUCAAAAGGAAAGCAGACUUGGAUGCCUCUGCGGUCCCCAGCUUCAGCCGCCACUCUGCUUAAUUAAGCCUUUUCGUUCCAUAGAGCACACGCAGAGGUGUGCUUUCUAACUCACAACAGAGUACGCUACUCUCUGUCGCUGGAAAAAACAACUCCUGCAUUCAAUCAGUUCAUUCCCAAACCCAAGGCAAUGCUUUAAGUCCAAUUUUUAUGAACAAAAGUGACAAGGAAAGUUGGAAGUACAUUUGUUACAUGAAAUAGGCAAUUUGUUUAGAGAAGACCAUGCCCAUUGCUAAAUCUAAGACCUGCUGUAAGGAUCCCUCAAGCCUCUUUUCAAAGCGUGGUUGCACCUACAGAAGUCUCUUUUCAGCCAGCGUCCUCCUCCUCCUGCCCUUGAGUGGCGCCCAGAACUGAAAACAAAAAAACAAAAACAGAAACAAAAGCAAGCAGUCACCUCACCUGGAGGCUGAAGAGUCCCUUCACCAGUGUCCAUGACGGGAAGGGACAGGAGUGGAUUCAAGAGUCCUAUGAAGAGCAAGCAGCAGAAGGGCACCCUGUCCAUGACGACGGCGAGAAGUCCGGCUGGGCGUCUGCUCUGGAGAACUUCCGACUCUCCUCAUUGAGGGAUUGCCCGUUUUAUCUAUCACCCUGUGACCUCAUAUGUCCCCUCCAAAAAAAAAAUAGAAUGAAUUUAUUGGCUAGGGAGGCUGAAAGGCAAUCACUUUGCAUUGAUGUAAUUUUUCAGAGUAACAAUUCAUAGACAAUAAAUUUACUGGCUUGUUGACUGGUGUUCAAAAUGGGUAUUC